AAUAUACGGCAUUGUAUUUAUCACACCGUUAUAAUGAAUUACAUUUGUCCUAAUUUGCACCGCGCCAUUGAUUAUACAUUAUACUAUACUGCACAAAUUUUGCCGAAUCUAUACGUAGAAUAAUACAUGCAUAUUAUUCGUAUGUAAUAAUCCCGCGACUGUAUUAUCAUGUAAUGUAAAAGGCACAAGGUUUUUUUUAAUGCAAUUUUCUCUGUUCUGUCCAAAUAGCAUUUCAAUUUAUUUAUUUGUUCUUAUUAUACAUGUAAGUAGGUAUACAUAUUAUAUAUAUAUAUCACACUAUCACACUGUUGUGUGUAUUAACUAUAAAUAUAAUUAUAUCACACGCUUGAACCGAGCGUACGAACAUUUUAUCACAUUAUACAUAGAUUUUUGAUUCCCCUGUAAAAUAUUCUCUACAUACCUGUUUAAUAUUACACAUAAUCGUAUUACAAAAAUAAUAAUACUUAAUCAUCAGCAACAUAAUACUGACGGUAGUUGUUAUUAAUAUUAUCAUUAUAAUUAUUAUCAUUAUGGUUAGCGGCAUAGUAACAAUAUACUAAUAUGCAAAAAUGUAGCUAAUAUAACAGUUCAAUUUUAUAGACACUAAGAAUAAUUAUUUAUAUGCGAAAUAUCGUAUAUAUUUAUACGUCAAUAUACAAUAUUAUAUCCGUAUAGAGUGAUUUUCAUAAUUUCCAAAAAAAAGAAGUUCUACGAUAAGUGGUUUAGGUAUAUAAAUGUAUAAACCUCAACCUAUGUAAUAGUUAUUACUCUUGUGGUUACAAUAUGUCUAUAAAGCACGCGUACGUUUAUAAUAUACUGUGAGUACCUACUUGCGUUUAAAAUUAAUUUUAUACACGUACUAUAUUAUAUAUUGUACCGUAAUAAUAUGACAGUUAAUUUAAUGUAAUUUAAUUCAAUACAUUAAGGCGUGAUUUACUCGCGCGUAUAUAAGUAUAUUACUAAUUUACAUUGUUUCUUGUGUACAGUUGUAAACGCAGUAUUAUACUAUAAUGAAAAAAAAAAAAAAUGAAUUUAUCUACUACACUCACUUAAGUUUUGGAUCUAUUGCCAUUAUUAUUAUUGUUAUGAUUAAUUAUAUAUUUCUGGUAUACGAAAUACGGGCUAUAGUCAGCAAAGUCUAUCCCCUUAAUUGAAGUUUCAAGUGGCGCGUAUUUUCUUAGUUUCAAAUCGAUUCGGAAUAAUUAACUUAUGCUUGAAAGAGUAGUUGGAAUACGUCCUGUAGGGAAGGAGAGAAAAAACAAAGUGGACAGAUAAUAGAGAAAACGGUAUUCCGCUUCGUAUAUGAAAUAGAGCGAAUUAAGAAAUGAAACAGAAAGAAAAAUUGUCAGCGUUGAUUUUCUUGAUAUCAAAAAAACAAGGAAAAGCAUGUAUACAAUUCAUCUCAAAUCAGUCACCGAGUAAUCCAAGUUCCUAAGCACAGUAAAACCGUUGGUGUAUGCAAUAUCUGAACUAUUGAGCUAUCGCCAAUUGUGCAACAAUUUAGCGACACAUCUCUUAAAACAGCCGCCUGAUGCCAAACACACGUAUAAUAAUAAUAAUGAUAAAGUCUGGAUAAUAUUAUGUACUCAGUAAUUAUGCAUACAAUAUACGUAUGGUUCUAUGUAGCGAAAUAUAAUAGAAAUGAAAGAAAAAAACGACGCGGUUUUUUAUUCAACGUGCCAAAAUUACCUACGCGACGAUUUCAGUUAUUAUAGAGAAACGAAAAAGUAUAUCAUAGGUGCGGAAAUUCUUCGAUAAUUACUAGAUAUUGCGUACAUCUGAUGUAUGUUGGUCGGUAAAAAAAACCCUAAAUUUUCCAAUAAAUGUAUUUUGCCUAAGCGUACAAUAUGGCGGAUCCUUGUAUGUAUGGGAAUAAAAUUAGAAAAUAUGAAAAUGUACUUAUGUUAAUAUAUAUAUUCGAUGUAAUUUAGUAUAGCAUAGCCGUUUUACAGCCUAACUUGCGACUAGAUAAUAAUGCGUAUAUAUGAAAGAUGUAUUAUCGAACAGCGGGUAAAUGAGAAGAGAAUAAUGCGAGUUGCACGAUACAUGCGAGUUAUGGCAUGUGCGUUGCAGGCCGCUAAACCAGAUAAAUAUGUAUGUAUAGAAUUUAUUUAAAUGAUGUAACGAUAAUAAUAGGUUUGGUAAGAGAAUAAAAAUGUAUGUAUCAUGCGUUUGGUAAUGAAGAACUCGAUAGAUCUACGAUAGAGUAACAAAAGUUACAUACGUAUACACAUGUAAUAUGGGGUAGAUGAAUAAUACAAUUGAUCUAGAAUUAUAUGCAAUGAUUGUGACUAUAUAUUUUCACUAAUUAUUCUUGCCAAUUCAACAGUAGAGAAUAUAAUUGCAUGUGACACGCGUACAUUGUAUACGUAAAAGAUAAACGAGAAGAAAAUGUCGGCUAUCCGAUGAGAACAAUUGUAUCACAAUGGGUGUUAAUCUUAACGUGCAAAUAUUUGCACGUUAAGAUUAUAAUAUGGGAUAUUUCGCGAAAUGAUGCAGUGUAUUAAUAAUAAUGAAUAUUCUUAUUAAUAUUGAAAAUAUUAUGAUUACAAUGAUUCGAAAAUAUUAAAUUAUUAAGUGUAAUGUUGUGUAAUGUGGUAUAAUAAAUGUCAUUAGAUAAGAGAAA